rnacentral:misc_RNA from 1 species
GAUGAAGAACGCAGCGAAAUGCGAUAAGUAAUGUGAAUUGCAGAAUUCAGUGAAUCAUCGAAUCUUUGAACGCACCUUGCGCUCUUUGGUAUUCCGAAGAGCAUGCCUGUUUGAGUGUCAUGAAAAUAUCAACCUUGACUUGGGUUUUGUGCUCUAGUCUCGGCUUGGAAUUGGGUGCUUGCCGCUUUUACGAGCGGCUCACCUUAAAUGUAUUAGCUGGAUCUGUCUUUGAGACUUGGUUUGACUUGGCGUAAUAAGUAUUUCGCUAAGGACAUUCUUCGGAGUGGCCUCGUUUCUAGGACGCUUGUCCGCUUUCCAAUACAAAUUCCACCUCGUGGACAUGACUUUUUAUUAUCUGGCCUCAAAUCAGGUAGGACUACCCGCUGAACUUAAGCAUAUCAAUAAGCGGAGGA